UUGAACCACAGCAACUUGAUCCUGACUGCUUUGUUGAAGCAGGCACUUAAAUAACUGAGCUAAGGGGCAGGCCAAACACUGAGCCAUAGUCUUAAAUUUAAAUGCUAAAUACAGGGGCCCGGGAGAUGGCUCAGUAGAAUAAGCACUUUUCUGGCAAGUGCAGCGUCCUGAGUUCAAUCCCUGGUACCACAAAAUAAAUAAAUGAAUAAAUAAAAGUAAAAUAAAAUUAAAAAAAAUAAAUGCUAAAUACAUAAUUGUACCAUGUAGUAAGAAGCCUAUCCAUAUUAUCAGGGGAAAAAUAGAUAAAAAUUCAAUAUUUGUCAUGAAAAAAUUUGAAUUAGAAAACAAGCAGGUUUUCAACUUUUACAUAACCAGAAUAAUAGAAAAUCUGUUUUAUGAUGUAUAUACUAUGAAUAAAAUCACAUUUUUCUAGAGCUGGGGAGAUAGCUCAGUAACUUAAGCACCUGCCUGGCAAUCACAAGGUCCUGAGUUUGAUCCCUAGUACCACAAAGAAAAAAGAUCACAUUUUUUUAAGCACUUCCCUGAAUAUUCUUUCUGGUGGAUCUUUUUAUUUUCUUAUUAAAUUACUAAAGUUUGUUUAUGUAUAACUUAGUUAUUAACAUAAUUAAAAUUGUCAUUUAAAGAUCCAUUAAAGCAUUUCACAUGUG